CGCGUACCCAUCCCGAACACGACCGUUAAGCCCUCCAGCGCCGAUGGUACUUGGACCGAAGGGUCCUGGGAGAGUAGGACGUCGCCAAGC
rnacentral:rRNA from 1 species